AGAGUUUGAUCCUGGCUCAGGAUGAACGCUAGCGGCAGGCCUAAUACAUGCAAGUCGAACGGGAUUUGGGAGCUUGCUUCCAAUGAGAGUGGCGCACGGGUGCGUAACACGUAUGUAACCUACCUUAAUCUGGGGGAUAGCCUCUCGAAAGAGAGAUUAACACCGCAUAACAUCACGAUAUAGCAUUUUAUUGUGAUCAAAUAUCUAUAGGAUUAAGAUGGGCAUGCGGAACAUUAGCUAGUUGGUAAGGUAAUGGCUUACCAAGGCUACGAUGUUUAGGGGAUCUGAGAGGAUGACCCCCCACACUGGUACUGAGACACGGACCAGACUCCUACGGGAGGCAGCAGUAAGGAAUAUUGGUCAAUGGGCGCAAGCCUGAACCAGCCAUGCCGCGUGCAGGAAGACGGUCCUACGGGUUGUAAACUGCUUUUGUACCGGAAUAAACUUUGAUACGUGUAUCAAGCUGAAUGUACGGUAAGAAUAAGGAUCGGCUAACUCCGUGCCAGCCGCCGCGGUAAUAC
rnacentral:rRNA from 1 species